CUUUUUCAUUUACAUGUUUAAUUUUGUACAUUUUAUUUUCUUGUUUGCACUUUCGAACAACUUGACUUUCAGUUUCAUUCUAAUUGUAAGUUACUUUUUCAUGAUCAUUUUGUUUAUUUGCAUUUGGUAUGUUUGUGGUUUUUUGCUCUAAUGCCUACUUGCUUUCUUGUUCAUAUUUGAAAUUUGUAUAUAAAGCUUAAAUUCAAAUACCAUUUUUUGAGCAAAAGAAUCCCAAAGAUUGAAGACUUUAUCAUUGUAAGGUAGACUUGUGGCUUUUGCUUUGAGAAACCACCAUUUUUGUUAGAUACUUUAUCUCCUGAGUUCAUUUGUUGAACUAGAGUGUUUAUCUUCAUUUGUUAGAUUUUAGGAACGGAGCAAAUGAGAAAUUGCAAAGAAACCCAAGCAACUCAUCAAUGCUUUUCCUCUCUUUUACUUUCAUUGAAUAUAAGCUCUCUCUUUUGUUUUCAAGUCAUUUUGAGUUAGAAAAAUAAAUGUGGUAGAUUCGUAAUCUAAUUGUUAAAUUUUGUAGUUAAUUUGGAGUUGUAUUUUCUUUUGCUUGUAGUUAUUGUGAUUCUUGAGUUUAUUACCUGGGGAGAUGAUUAUGAUCAUUUUUCUCCAUUAAGUAGAGCUAGGUUUGAAAAUAGCUAAGAGUUCAUGUGAAUAAAUUUUGUAGGUUUUUUUUAAUUUUUAUUUGGAUGAAAAUCUCAAUUCUUUCUCUAUUUCAAAGUUUCAAAGAAUUGAAAACUCUUAGCUUGUAAUGCAUUCAAUAUAAUAUUACUAAAACCAAGGUAUGUAAUAUGAUCUUGCUCUACUUCUUAAUUAUUUUUAUACAGGUUUAUUUCUAAUAUAAUUAAGUAGCUAAUAAAUAUAUAUAUAUAUAUAUAUAUAUAUAUAUAUAUAUAUAUAUAUAUAUAUAUAUAUAUAUUGCUUCCUUCUCUCACAAGAUUUCAAUAAUUUUUCAAGUUUCAACAAAUAAUUAGAGAAUUCAUUGAAGAAGUUGUUGCUUAAUAUAAUAAGUUGAUGAAUCUAUCACUUCACUUGGUUAGUUGUUGCUUUAUUAUUAUAUAUAUACAUAUAUGUGAUGUUUCAAUUUAUUGAAUGGGACAUUGCAAAAUGCUAGGUAAUUAAUUAAGCUCAAACUUCUUUUACAACUUCACAUUCACUAUUGCAUAUUAAUUAAAGUUUUCAUUGAAAAUGACCCUAUCUAUAUCUUGAAGGCUACAUUGAAAAUUUUCUAAUGUCUAUUAAUUAACUUUAACUUUGGAAUGAUACGCUAAAUCACUCCAUUCUCUAUAGUUGAUUUCUUUGUUGAGUGUAUUUUUAUAAUGUAGGUGGAUAGAAGGAAGUUUUGGGUACGGAUGAAGAUGCAACUCACUUGGCCUUUGAGUUUUAUAUUCGUUACUUUAAUCUUUAAAACUCGAUGGAGAAACAACUUUGUUACUUUUUUUUUCAAUGUAUUAGACAUAACCAAAUGUGUUAUGUAAUUACAAAGUUUCAAUUAUGAUAUGAAACUUUUGAUAUUUUGAUUUGAAUGUAUGAAUACGAUUUGCUUAA
rnacentral:lncRNA from 1 species